ACAUGCAAGUCGAGCGGACNGAAGGGAGCUUGCUCCCGGAUGUUAGCGGCGGACGGGUGAGUAACACGUGGGUAACCUGCCUGUAAGACUGGGAUAACUCCGGGAAACCGGAGCUAAUACCGGAUAGUUCCUUGAACCGCAUGGUUCAAGGAUGAAAGACGGUUUCGGCUGUCACUUACAGAUGGACCCGCGGCGCAUUAGCUAGUUGGUGAGGUAACGGCUCACCAAGGCGACGAUGCGUAGCCGACCUGAGAGGGUGAUCGGCCACACUGGGACUGAGACACGGCCCAGACUCCUACGGGAGGCAGCAGUAGGGAAUCUUCCGCAAUGGACGAAAGUCUGACGGAGCAACGCCGCGUGAGUGAUGAAGGUUUUCGGAUCGUAAAGCUCUGUUGUUAGGGAAGAACAAGUGCAAGAGUAACUGCUUGCACCUUGACGGUACCUAACCAGAAAGCCACGGCUAACUACGUGCCAGCAGCCGCGGUAAUACGUAGGUGGCAAGCGUUGUCCGGAAUUAUUGGGCGUAAAGGGCUCGCAGGCGGUUUCUUAAGUCUGAUGUGAAAGCCCCCGGCUCAACCGGGGAGGGUCAUUGGAAACUGGGAAACUUGAGUGCAGAAGAGGAGAGUGGAAUUCCACGUGUAGCGGUGAAAUGCGUAGAGAUGUGGAGGAACACCAGUGGCGAAGGCGACUCUCUGGUCUGUAACUGACGCUGAGGAGCGAAAGCGUG
rnacentral:rRNA from 1 species